rnacentral:rRNA from 1 species
UACGGGGGGGGCAAGCGUUGUUCGGAAUUACUGGGCGUAAAGGGCUCGUAGGCGGCCGACUAAGUCAGACGUGAAAUCCCUCGGCUUAACCGGGGAACUGCGUCUGAUACUGGACGGCUUGAGUUCGGGAGAGGGAUGCGGAAUUCCAGGUGUAGCGGUGAAAUGCGUAGAUAUCUGGAGGAACACCGGUGGCGAAGGCGGCAUCCUGGACCGACACUGACGCUGAGGCGCGAAAGCUAGGGGAGCGAACAGG